rnacentral:rRNA from 1 species
AGUGAACGCUGGCGGUAGGCCUAACACAUGCAAGUAGAACGGCAGCACAGUAAGAGCUUGCUCUUACGGGUGGCGAGUGGCGGACGGGUGAGGAAUACAUCGGAAUCUACUUUUUCGUGGGGGAUAACGUAGGGAAACUUACGCUAAUACCGCAUACGACCUACGGGUGAAAGCAGGGGAUCUUCGGACCUUGCGCGAUUGAAUGAGCCGAUGUCGGAUUAGCUAGUUGGCGGGGUAAAGGCCCACCAAGGCGACGAUCCGUAGCUGGUCUGAGAGGAUGAUCAGCCACACUGGAACUGAGACACGGUCCAGACCCUUACGGGAGGCAGCAGUGGGGAAUAUUGGACAAUGGGCGCAAGCCUGAUCCAGCCAUACCGCGUGGGUGAAGAAGGCCUUCGGGUUGUAAAGCCCUUUUGUUGGGAAAGAAAAGCAGCAGGUUAAUACCCCGCUGUUCUGACGGUACCCAAAGAAUAAGCACCGGCUAACUUCGU